ACGCUGGCGGCAGGCCUAACACAUGCAAGUCGAGCGGUAGAGAGAAGCUUGCUUCUCUUGAGAGCGGCGGACGGGUGAGUAAUGCCUAGGAAUCUGCCUGGUAGUGGGGGAUAACGUCCGGAAACGGACGCUAAUACCGCAUACGUCCUACGGGAGAAAGCAGGGGACCUUCGGGCCUUGCGCUAUCAGAUGAGCCUAGGUCGGAUUAGCUAGUUGGUGGGGUAAUGGCUCACCAAGGCGACGAUCCGUAACUGGUCUGAGAGGAUGAUCAGUCACACUGGAACUGAGACACGGUCCAGACUCCUACGGGGGGCAGCAGUGGGGAAUAUUGGACAAUGGGCGAAAGCCUGAUCCAGCCAUGCCGCGUGUGUGAAGAAGGUCUUCGGAUUGUAAAGCACUUUAAGUUGGGAGGAAGGGCAGUAAAUUAAUACUUUGCUGUUUUGACGUUACCGACAGAAUAAGCACCGGCUAACUCUGUGCCAGCAGCCGCGGUAAUACAGAGGGUGCAAGCGUUAAUCGGAAUUACUGGGCGUAAGGCGCGCGUAGGUGGUUCGUUAAGUUGGAUGUGAAAUCCCCGGGCUCAACCUGGGAACUGCAUUCAAAACUGACGAGCUAGAGUAUGGUAGAGGGUGGUGGAAUUUCCUGUGUAGCGGUGAAAUGCGUAGAUAUAGGAAGGAACACCAGUGGCGAAGGCGACCACCUGGACUGAUACUGACACUGAGGUGCGAAAGCGUGGGGAGCAAAC
rnacentral:rRNA from 1 species